UGUCAGGAACCCCGUGUAUGAUGAAUUAUCUGACCCGGCCGUUGCCUCUCAUGUAACGCUUCUCAUGGCUCUCACUGCA
ensembl:miRNA